rnacentral:tRNA from 1 species
GCGCCUGUAGCUUAAUUGGACUGAGCACGAGAUUCCGGAUCUUGAGAUUGGAGGUUCGAGUCCUCUCAGGCGUA